GGGUUAGGGACUGCAGGUAUGCAGACAGGAAGCAGACAAUGCUUGCCUUCGGAGAGCUCAGCAGAGAUAGGACAGGUCUGCAACUCUUCUCCAAGAUAGAAAGUGCUGAGUGUUUUAAAAGAAGAACAAUGUGCAUGGGGAAUUCAGAGGAAGUAAAAACCUCCUGCAUAAGAUUUCAGAAGGAGACUCCAGCCAGGAAGCGCCCACCACCGUGGGAGCAGUGCACCGGCCCAUGCCUCUGGCACUGCUGCAGGGCCAGCUCUGUGCCUGAGCAGCGCACCCCACUCAUCACCACCUCUUGGGCCCUCGGCGUCCCCGACCAGUACCAGGUUUCCUAAGAAAACAGCCAGCGUCACCCAGUCAGCGUGCCUUUGGAGUCACCUCCUGACUCCCAUCUGAGGUGUGGCCUCAGUCAUACCACCCCCACCAGGUUGUGUCCAGCCUGGGCCCGAAAAUCUUUAGUGAUGAGAACCCAUAUUCCCUGGGGCAGUCCAUGACACAUUUGGACCCUUCUGAUGUUAGAAAUCCCCUCCACAUAUGGAGGUAAAAAUCCACCCACCGUGGCUUCCACUACUGGCCCUACACCCCUCCCUCUUCUAGAUGGCAGAGGAGGGUCCUGUUCCCCGCCCCUCUGCCUGGGGGCUGUGCUCCCAUUUCCCCAGCGGUUCCUCAAGCGGCCCAGAUCGUCAGUUGUGCUCAGGGUUGCCCAGUCCACACUGUGCAGCAGCCAGUGUGGGUGCAGGUGCGGAGGUUUCUCUGUUGCAGUCAUGCCUAAGUCCUCUUGAUUUUAUUUUUUGAUGUAUUUUAGAUCUAUCCACUUAUUUCUCCUGGAUCGCCUGGUCCAGUCCAGCCUCAUUUCUCACCUGGGCUACUACAAUAGCCUCGUGAGUGUGUUUCCUUGCAUUCAUGUUAGUCUCCACCCAACCGUUUUCCAAACAGCAAAGGAAGAAAUCUUUUAAACAUGCGGAUUGCAAGCUUUGAGUGAUCUUGCUCCUGCCUCCUCUGCCCUCAUGCUUGACAGCACUCUUGAGAGACAGCCACACUACAACCCCUGGCCCUGAUUUCCUCAGCCGAAUCAAGCUUUCUCUGGCCAGAGGGCUUUUGCAUAAGCUGUUCAUUCCUCCUCCACCUUGUCUGACUAACUUCUAUUCAUCUUUCCUGCAGACGUAAA
rnacentral:antisense_RNA from 1 species